CUUUGAUAUUUUGCAUACUUGUUAACCAUCAUGACCCCAGUCUGUAAAAAGGAGGAGGCAACUCUAUCAAGCAUUUUGACUGAAUUAUGGUCCCUUUUCGACUUAGAAUAAAUGUUAAAGUUUGCGCACCACCCCAAAUAUUUUCAAAGUCCAUUGAGAUAUUGCUUUCAUAUUUUGCAUACUUGUUUACCAUUAUGACCCCUGUCUGUAAAAAGGAGGAGGCAACUCUAUCAAGCAUUUUGACUGAAUUAUGGCCCCUUUUCGACUUAGAAUAUGCUUAUUGUAAUGUUAUACUUUUACUCAUAGCUUAUAUUAUACUAUCAAGCACUGAAAAUAGUUGAGCGCGCUGUCCACUGACAGCUCUUGUUUAUUACUGUUGUUGUACUUCUAUUUUUAAUGUCAUUUGUUGGCUUGUGUUUUCAGGAAAAGAUGUUACAGCCAGUGUAUGAAGACUGAACUUUUGGUACGGUCACAGGUGCUCUUGAAAAGACUGAUGGCCUGGCAGCAUAAACUAUUCUAUGGUUAUAGGGGCAAUGUCUUUAAACAUAAGCAUGCUGUUGUGGAGUGAAAGUGCACAAACCAUUGAUAACCCUUUGGAGAAUCAGUACCAGGUGUGGCAAGAAGUUUGAAAUCAAAGUCACAAGAAGUUGUUUGAUGAUGGAAGUAUCUGUGAUCAUUUAGUAUUUCCAGUGGUUCAGAGGAACAGAUUACACUCAGUUAAAACUAAAUGUGAUAUUUAUCUAUUUGUGAAUGAACAAGGACUUAAUGAGGAUAAAAUGUUAAGAAGACAAACCUGAUGCAGCAACAAUUUUGUGACAGUAUCAGUGUAAUAUUUAACCAUGUACAACUGUUUUUCA